CCAGACUCCUACGGGAGGCAGCAGUGGGGAAUAUUGGGCAAUGGGCGCAAGCCUGACCCAGCAACGCCGCGUGAAGGAAGAAGGCUUUCGGGUUGUAAACUUCUUUUAUUCGGGACGAAACAAAUGACGGUACCGAAUGAAUAAGCCACGGCUAACUACGUGCCAGCAGCCGCGGUAAUACGUAGGUGGCAAGCGUUAUCCGGAUUUACUGGGUGUAAAGGGCGUGUAGGCGGGAGAGCAAGUCAGACGUGAAAUUCCAGGGCUCAACCCUGGAACUGCGUUUGAAACUGUUCUUCUUGAGUGAUGGAGAGGCAGGCGGAAUUCCGUGUGUAGCGGUGAAAUGCGUAGAUAUACGGAGGAACACCAGUGGCGAAGGCGGCUUACUGGACGGUAACUGACGUUGAGGCUCGAAAGCGUGGGGAGCAAACAGGAUUAGAUACCCUAGUA
rnacentral:rRNA from 1 species